rnacentral:tRNA from 1 species
GGUCCUGUAGCUCAGUUGGUUUGAGUGUUGGUCUUAUGAGCUGAAGGUCGCGGUUUUGAGCCUUGUCGGGAUUA